rnacentral:tRNA from 1 species
GGCGGUGUAGCUCAGUGGUUAGAGCACACGGUUCAUACCCGUGAAGUCAGUGGUUCGAAUCCACUCACCGCUACCA